AUACUUCAGGUGACUCUUAUUUACAAAACAGCACAAUAUCAUCUGAGAGAUCAUGAAGACAAACCUCAGUGCCAGUUGAUGCUGUAUUAUAUUAAUGGCUUACCAUUUUAGCUUGAUGCAAAAAACGAAAGUUGAAGCACCUUUUGUGUUUAUGGUGUUCCUCUCCCCAGUAUUCCACAGGUGACUGUAAAAGGAUUUGUCUUUAAAAUGCAAUUUAGAGUACAAAGAUAAUAAUGUCAAAAUAUUACUUUCCAUCCAUCGAAACAUUCAAAAAUAUUUAACUGCUUCCAUAUAAGGGAUUUAGGCAGUCUGUUGGGUUCCUGGGUGUUUCCUGUCUGUGGUUGGGGUUGCUGUUUCCCUGUCCAUCCUUCAGGGGGCGCCUGGCAGUCAUUCCUGGAGGGCGUGGACCAGCUGAUAUUCAUCACCUGCACUGCAUGAUCUCAUUUGGAGGAGCAUAAGAGGAGGAGGCAGCCUACACACCAGUGCCAGAGUGUUUUGCCAGUUUUGGAACUCUCACUACAGAAGCUGUGAACCCCUUAGUGGAAAUCCAGCGCAGAACCUCUCCUUGUGACGCCGGGGGAUUAUUGCCCACCGGAUGCCCAAGUCCCUGAACCCCACCUUGGUGAUCGGAUCUCCACGCUCGCUGCCUUCCUCUCUCCGGCCAUAACGAAACCCGCCCAGAUCUCGUCCGCCCUCCAGAGCUGCCCCACCACCAUAAGCGAAGCAGCAACACUCGACCUCAAGUAAUCCGCCCAGGAUCCUUCAAACCUUCCCCCCCCCGGUCCGUAUCAUCUCAGCUGAAGUAAGAACGUUAAGUUUUUUCCAGCAGUUUACCAUUUCCUCCAGUCAUCGAACUCACCAUACUCUCUCACCCUUAGCUCCAACCAGAAGCAUCGAAUCCUCUCCGGACCAGUUUUUCCCCUUUUUCUCUGACUGUCAUCCUCUGCAAUAAAUAUAAUUUUACUGAU